UGUGACACUCCAGGGUCAGGUGACCGGUCCCUUGCGACCGCACGUAGUCUCCAUGCAGGCGCAGUGGAAAUUCCACUACGCUAGCGGUGCCAUGUUUAAGUAUACAGAGCGGGAGCAGAAACGUUGCUUCACUGAAGAUGAGAAAAUAAACCACUUUGUAUUUUUUGGAGUGCUGCAUCCUUGGUGUUUUUGGAUGGACUGCAAUCAGAACUGCUGAGAUCACGUAAAUGCCAAGAAGGGAGUUCUGCCCAAGCUGUGGACGGUGCUGAGAGAGGGAGGAAGAGGACUGGCUACUAUAAUCUUCCCCAAUCUGCUGCUGUUUAUUAGCAAAGUCCCCAAUAAAAUAACGCAGCCGCGGGCGGACUUCUACAGCACUUUGUUCAACUCUUUAAUCCAAGGGUAUGUUUAGUUUUCAUAUGCAGACUGUGACCAAUGACAACUCGACUUCAUUCCUUCUAAUGU